AAAUUAAAUGGCGAUGACGUUCGCCGCAAAUAAUUGUUGAUCAAUUUGAUGACGUCUACUACAAA
rnacentral:ncRNA from 2 species